AUCACUUGUCCCCUAAAUAGAGACUUAGUAUGAACGGUUUAUAUGAGGACAAACCUGUCUCUUAUGGGCAAUCAGUUAAACUGAACCCCCAAUACAAAUGUUGGGAUACUCCUAUAAGACGAGAAGACCCUGUGGAGCUUCUAAACAAACUAUAAAAACUAUUAUAGCAAGUUUUUAGUUGGGGCGACUUCGGAAAAAAAUUAAACUUCCAAGCAUAGGACUAACCUCCUUAACUGGUCAACAAACCUAAUAACACUGACCCGGCCCAGUACCGAAAAACGAACCAAGUUACCCCAGGGAUAACAGCGCUAUCUUCUUUUAGAGUCCAUAUCAACAAGUUAAGGCUUACGACCUCGAUGUUGGAUCAGGACACCCAAAUGGUGCAGCCGCUAUUAACGGUUCGUUUGUUCAACGAUUGAUAGUCCU
rnacentral:rRNA from 1 species